rnacentral:lncRNA from 1 species
GUAACUGAAAUUUUCACAGCAAGUUUCUUUAAUGAACCAAAAUAAAUGUGUGUGUCAAUUCUGAAAACUUAAUGCCAUGGUCAUUACAUACAAAGGUGAAUGCUGUUAAAUGUUUGUCAUACAGAAGUAAUAACGUGUCUUUUUCAUUGACAUACUUUCCUGGACAUUUUAUUUAGCAUCCCCUUAAAAUAUUUCCCCCCUGCAUUUGCAUUCUCCUUUCUAAUGAAACAAUGGAGUUAACGAAUUUAAUGUUAGCCAGUAGCUUACUGGUAAACCAAAAUCUGCACCAUACACAUGAACUGAUCACAGUUAGAAUGUAAUCAAUGGCAUUAAUAUUCAAUCUACUGAUCAGGAAGUGACUAUCGCAAGCUGUUCAUUCCUUUUCAGUUAAAUUCUGGUGUCAGAAAUUAUUUCCACCAUUUGGUUUUGAGAACUUAUUAUAAUAACAUGCCAUGGUUAUCUCCUUGACACAUCACUUUAAUACAAC